rnacentral:rRNA from 1 species
GACGAACGCUGGCGGCGUGCUUAACACAUGCAAGUCGAACGGAAAGGCCCUUCGGGGUACUCGAUUGGCGAACGGGUGAGUAACACGUGGGUGAUCUGCCCUGCACUUUGGGAUAAGCCUGGGAAACUGGGGCUAAUACUGAAGAGGACCACGCGCGUCAUGGUGUGUGGUGUAAAGCUUUUGCGGUGUGGGAUGGGACCGCGGCCAAUCAGCUUGUUGGUGGGGUAAUGGCCUACCAAGGCGACGACGGGUAGCCGACCUGAGAGGGUGACCGGCCACACUGGGACUGCGAUACGGCCCAGACUCCUACGGGAGGCAGCAGUGGGGAAUAUUGCACAAUGGGCGCAAGCCUGAUGCAGAGACGCCGCGUGAGGGAUGACGGCCUUCGGGUUGUAAACCUCUUUCACCAGAGACGAAGCGUAAGUGACGUUACCUGGAGAAGAAGCACCGGCUAACUACGUG